GCGUGCGGCGGCUACACAUGCAAGUCGAACGGUAACAGGAAGCAGCUUGCUGCUUUGCUGACGAGUGGCGGACGGGUGAGUAAUGUCUGGGAAACUGCCUGAUGGAGGGGGAUAACUACUGGAAACGGUAGCUAAUACCGCAUAACGUCGCAAGACCAAAGAGGGGGACCUUCGGGCCUCUUGCCAUCGGAUGUGCCCAGAUGGGAUUAGCUAGUAGGUGGGGUAACGGCUCACCUAGGCGACGAUCCCUAGCUGGUCUGAGAGGAUGACCAGCCACACUGGAACUGAGACACGGUCCAGACUCCUACGGGAGGCAGCAGUGGGGAAUAUUGCACAAUGGGCGCAAGCCUGAUGCAGCCAUGCCGCGUGUGUGAAGAAGGCCUUCGGGUUGUAAAGCACUUUCAGCGGGGAGGAAGGCGGUAAGGUUAAUAACCUUGCCGAUUGACGUUACCCGCAAAAGAAGCACCGGCUAACUCCGUGCCAGCAGCCGCGGUAAUACGGAGGGUGCAAGCGUUAAUCGGAAUUACUGGGCGUAAAGCGCACGCAGGCGGUCUGUCAAGUCGGAUGUGAAAUCCCCGGGCUCAACCUGGGAACUGCAUUCGAAACUGGCAGGCUAGAGUCUUGUAGAGGGGGGUAGAAUUCCAGGUGUAGCGGUGAAAUGCGUAGAGAUCUGGAGGAAUACCGGUGGCGAAGGCGGCCCCCUGGACAAAGACUGACGCUCAGGUGCGAAAGCGUGGGGAGCAAACAGGAUUAGAUACCUGGUAGUCCACGCCGUAAACGAUGUCGACUUGCAGUUGUGCCCUUGAGCGUGCUUUCGAGCUAACGCGUGAGUCGACGACUGGGAGUACGCGCAAGGUAAACUCAAUGAUUGACGGGGCCGCCAGCGCUGGACAUGUGUAUUCGAAUGCACCUCGAGCACCUUACUACU
rnacentral:rRNA from 1 species